rnacentral:tmRNA from 1 species
CUGCUUGCAGGGGACCCGCCCCGCCCCUAUAUCUGACAGCGUUCGGGUUCGCCCGGACUAUGGACAUAAACGCGCAUGUAAUAAGCGGAUCGGACCCGGGGGCGGUACCCGGCGACUCCACCAAAAUCCCUUCGUUGGGGGCACCUGGGGUCGAAACAGGAUCGACGAACGUCUAAAGAUGUUUGCUUUGUCUCGGUGAGCUACCACCGAUAUCGGUGCAAAUUGUACAGUUGCCAACGACAACCGUGCUCCGGUGGCUCUGGCUGCGUAAGCAGUUCGAGUUAUCGAAACCUAAGUCCUUGCGCCUAGCAGCGUAAGGCGGGGCCCCCAGGAGCCUGGCAACAGAAUCCUGGACU